rnacentral:piRNA from 1 species
UAGGUGGGGCAAUGUCAUUCAUUGGGAAUA